CGGGGUGAGUAACGCGUGGGUAACCUGCCUUGUACUGGGGGACAACAGUUAGAAAUGACUGCUAAUACCGCAUAAGCGCACAGUAUCGCAUGAUACAGUGUGAAAAACUCCGGUGGUACAAGAUGGACCCGCGUCUGAUUAGCUAGUUGGUAAGGUAACGGCUUACCAAGGCGACGAUCAGUAGCCGACCUGAGAGGGUGACCGGCCACAUUGGGACUGAGACACGGCCCAA
rnacentral:rRNA from 1 species